rnacentral:rRNA from 1 species
AUGGUUAUCAAGCUGGAUUUCUCGAAGGCUUUGGACUCUGUCUGCUGGCCCUCCCAGCUUACCAUUCUAGCUGCCACGGGCUUCCAAAACAAAUGGAUUAAAUGGAUUGAAUCUUUGCUUGUUACCGGCAAAACAACCAUCCUUCUUAAUGGAAUCCCUGGCCCGUGGAUACAAUGUAAAAAUGUGUUACGACAGGGGGAUCCGCUAUCCCCGUUUCUCUUCAUAAUAGUUGCAGAUGUACUUCAAAGAAUGAUCAUAAAGGCUUGUCAGCAAAAUCUGCUUGCACACCCCAUCUCCCCAGAUCUUCCGUGCCCGGUCCUUCAAUAUGCGGACGACACCCUAAUUAUCGUUAAGGCUGAUGCUUCUGCGGCUGCAAAUCUCAAAUGUAUCCUCAAUGACUUCUCGAGCACCACUGGGCUAGCCAUUAACUUCUCUAAAACCACUUUCGUCCCCCUAAGUAUUGCGCCGGAAAUUGCCUCCUCGAUGGCGGCCAGACUUGCCACCUCUGUAGCCUCUUUACCACAAAAGUAUCUUGGCCUCCCUGUUGAAAUAUAUUGCCCGCCUCCCUCCAUCAGUUCGGGCUUUUGGAUGAGUUGGCUGGUGCAUGAAUACAAUAUGGUAUCUGAGCCAAGAGGUAUUGAGUUCAAGACCUUGUCAACGCAGUAUUAA